rnacentral:misc_RNA from 1 species
UUAACUUAUUAAGUAUAAAACAUCAGAAGUUCCACUAUAUCCAGAGUUUAACAGCCCACCGGCGGGUAGGCCUGCAGCGGGCUACAGGGUAGCUCGCUCCCGGGUAAGUACAGGGUAGUUACCGGGUAGGCUUCCCCGCCGAGGCAACGUAGGUAAGUUCACAUGGGUUUGGGAGUUAGAUAACUCUGUAAUGAUCCCUCCGCUGGUUCACCAACGGAGA